UUUCACGCUAUGGACAUGGAACGAAUGAUGAGAUGGUUAGAUGACUCAUUAUGCGUUUAGAAUGUGACAGAAGUGAUAGUUCAUAAGGAAAGUGGAGAUUUGAGAUUUUAACAUUUGUGCAAUUGAAAUUUUAUAAUACAAUGGAUCCAGCAUUGCUUAGAGAGCGAGAGCUCUUUAAGAAAAGAGCUCUUACAACACCAUCGGUGGAGAAAAGAAAGAAGGAACAGGAGAAAGAUACCACACGAGAUGAGCCAUUCAAAAAAAAGCCAAAACUAUCCUCCGUGUCUAGCGGACCCAAACUAGACAUGGUUAACUACAAAACCAUGUCUGGCAGUACGCAAUAUAAAUUUGGUGUGUUAGCCAAAAUAGUAAAGCAUAUGAAAGCUAGGCAUCAAGAAGGAGAUGAUCAUCCUUUAACGUUAGAAGAAAUCUUGGAUGAAACAAAUCAAUUAGAUGUUGGAUCCAAGGUAAAACAAUGGCUUCAAACAGAAGCUCUCAUUAAAAACCCAAAGAUAGAAGUAACUUCGGAUGGUAGAUUUGUAUUCAAAGCUAUGUAUAAAAUUAAAGAUAAAAAAUCUUUACUGAGAUUAUUAAAACAACAAGAUUUAAAAGGUCUUGGUGGAAUACUAUUAGAAGAUAUACAAGAAAGUCUGCCACACUGUGAUAAGCAUUUAAAGAGUUUACAAAAUGAGAUAUUAUUUAUAACAAGACCCUUGGACAAGAAAAAGAUUGUAUUUUAUAAUGAUAAAACAGCACAGUUUCCAAUAGACGAUGAAUUUCAAAAGUUGUGGAGGGCUGUUGCAGUUGAUGCAAUGGAUGAUCAAAAAAUCGAUGAAUACUUAGAAAAACAAGGAAUACGAUCUAUGCAGGAUCAUGGCCCCAAGAAACCAGCCCCGAUUAAACGAAAGAAACCUGUUAGUAAGAGAAAACAGUUCAAAAAACCAAGAGACAACGAACAUUUAGCAGAUGUUUUAGAAACGUACGAUGAUACGAAAUAAAUACGAAAUGAUCCUGAAAUUUUGUAAAGAAACUAAAUCUAUGACCUAAGUGUUAAAAGAGAGAUAAGAAUGUUUUAUUAUCAUAACUUUUUACGAUCAUUAUGUAAGAGAAAUUGUCUAUUUUGGAGUUAACAUGUUAGUGUUACAUAUCACAGUGAUAUAAUAAAUAAGAAAUAUUUAUUGUCAUAAUUUCAUUGAAAUGCAGACAACCGAAUUUGCAGACUUUCCUCCAUUUUGGAUCAGUCGAAAUCAUUUUCCACCUGAUAUUGUGAGAACGUACGGGAUCUUGCUCGAUACGAUGCACGCGUUCCGACAUAUCGUGAUUCAAUCGAGAGAAACGAGAGCUACAGCCUAGUGACCCGCUUCGAGGCACACCACACUAUUUUUACCUCGAACUCGAACCUGCCACGGCGCCACAAAACCUUGUACACGCGUUAAACGUCACCAUGGUGUGUUUCGUCUUAAGUUCAAUGAAAAGUGACCUGUUUUAUAAGCGCCGCGAACAAGUCGAAUUGGAGUCGGCUAGCCAGCAAUCGAAUGGAUUUAUCAAUUUUUGAUAGCGUUGCGAGGAAUUUUUAUUUACAGAGAUGAAACAUUGAUUCGUGAAAAGUGUGAAAACCGAAACGUUGAUUUUUUCAUACAGAAUACUCGAGUUUUAAAGGUAGCUAAAAUGGCAAAACUGACCGCAGACUGACGUUCCUGAACGUUCACCCAAGAUUCUGCGGUGUGCUUUAUUUCAUGAUUGACAGGACCACCUGAACAUUUCGUGGAAAACAAAUUUAUUGCUAAUCCGUGUAUUUGCGUUCGAGUCCUUAGACCAACAUCGUUUCGGCGCUUUCCCUCGUGUGGAUCAUUAAAAGUUCGCCGGUUAUUCGUGCCAAUUUUCUGCACGGAUCAACUCCGUUAUACGAAUCGCCUUUGUUCCCUGUCUUUCAACGAACCGAGCAAUUAUUUGCCGAGUUAAAAAUACGUAUAUGCGAUGGAAAGUAUACAUCGUAUGGGAAAACAGUAUACAUCGUUGUUUCGAGAUAUACAAACCAUUGGUCUCUCGUUUAUUCGCGAGGAAUUGACAGGGCGGUUUAAUCGUUUAUAAAACGCGAUUCAAGGAAAUUUUGAAAUAAAACUUUAUAAAUAGGACGCGAGCGUGGUUUGCGGUCAGUUUGAAAUGUACAGUUGCUGGGGCCCAACCAAUUAUGUACUCACCUAUGCUUUACACGUGCCAUUACCAAAAAUACACGCGGUUGGCUCCUUUCAGGGUCCCAACCACGUUUAUCAUACGCACACAAACACACCUAACGCGUGGAUAUAUGCGACGCAUGCACUUGUACUUGAAUCAAUCGUACUUGAGAUACUUUUCAGCGAUCGUUUUUAUACGAAUAUUAACGAAAAUAAUUUAAUUCCUAGCGGAUAAUUACUUUAUCUCGCGAAGAAAGAUCUAUUUCUAUUAACAAGUAUAAAACAGGCAAAUCAAUACGUUUCCACAUUAGUUGAUUAUUCUUUGUUUUAACCCACUCGUACUUAACGUUACAAAUUAUUAAUUAAUUAAGAAAUAAAUUGGCUUCGUGUUUUAGUGCGUUGCGUAACAUUUACAAAGAUAUCAGAAAAUAUAUGUCUCCAUUGUUA